CUCCUAGGUGAACUGCCUACCACGGCUAACGAGCCCAACCUGCCCGGGUUUGUUUAGAGUUUGCUCUCCUAGGUGAACUGCCUACCACGGCUAACGACCUCCACCUGCCCGGGUUUGUUUAGAGUUUGCUCUCCUAGGUGAACUGCCUACCACGGCUAACGACCUCCACCUGCCCGGGUUUAUUGUUCGGAGUUUGCUCUCCUAGGUGAACUGCCUACCACGGCUAACGACCUCCACCUGCCCGGAUUUGUUUAGAGUUUGCUCUCCUAGGUGAAUUGCCUCCCACGGCUAACGACCUCCACCUGCCCGGGUUUGUUUAGAGUUUGCUCUCCUAGGUGAAUUGCCUCCCACGGCUAACGACCUCCACCUGUCCGGGUUUGUUUAGAGUUUGCUCUCCUAGGUGAAUUGCCUCCCACGGCUAACGACCUCCACCUGCCCGGGUUUGUAUAGAGUUUGCUCUCCUAGGUGAAUUGCCUCCCACGGCUAACGACCUCCACCUGCCCGGGUUUGUAUAGAGUUUGCUCUCCUAGGUGAAUUGCCUCCCACGGCUAACGAGCCUCACCUGCCCGGGUUUGUAUAGAGUUUGCUCUCCUAGGCAGAUUGCCUACCACGGCUAACGAGCUCCACCUGCCCGGGUUAAUUGUUCGGAGUUUGCUCUCCUAGGCAGACUGCCUACCACGGCUAACAAGCUCCACCUGCCCGGGUUUGUAGCCGGAAGAUCUCCGGCACCUCCGUCGGGGCCCCGAGGGACGCCGAGGAGCCCUGCCUGGAGCCUUCCAGUCCUGCCAUGCUCGCCAGGGAGACCUUGGGCUCGCUGGCGCUCCACACCCCCGCCGAGGCGAGGAUGCAAGAACUCGCUUCUUAAAACUACCAGACUGGAUUAUAAAAUUAAUCAUAAUUACUGUGAAGGCGCCGGUCACCGCGUUUAUCGGUUCAGGGAUGGAAGACCGACGGGCCUGGGAAACGCGCACAAGCAUCCAAAGGAAUCCUCGCGACGGCUUGCGACGCAGCAUCCGUUUCCCUUUUCUUUCUCAUUCCAAUUUUUCUUUUUUAUUAUAUUUUCCUUCUCUGA